UACGUAGGAUGCAAGCGUUGUCCGGAAUUAUUGGGCGUAAAGAGCGCGCAGGCGGUAUGACAAGUCAGAUGUGAAAGAGGCCGGCUUAACCGGCAAGGGUCAUUUGAAACUGUCAGACUAGAGUGCAGCAGAGGAUAGUGGAAUUCCCGGUGUAGUGGUGAAAUGCGUAGAUAUCGGGAGGAACACCAGUGGCGAAGGCGACUAUCUGGGCUGCAACUGACGCUGAGGCGCGAAGGCUGGGGGAGCAAACGGG
rnacentral:rRNA from 1 species